AUUGAACGCUGGCGGCAUGCUUUACACAUGCAAGUCGGACGGCAGCACAGAGAAGCUUGCUUCUUGGGUGGCGAGUGGCGAACGGGUGAGUAAUAUAUCGGAACGUACCGAGUAAUGGGGGAUAACUAAUCGAAAGAUUAGCUAAUACCGCAUAUUCUCUGAGGAGGAGAGCAGGGGACCUUCGGGCCUUGCGUUAUUCGAGCGGCCGAUAUCUGAUUAGCUAGUUGGUGGGGUAAAGGCCUACCAAGGCGACGAUCAGUAGCGGGUCUGAGAGGAUGAUCCGCCACACUGGGACUGAGACACGGCCCAGACUCCUACGGGAGGCAGCAGUGGGGAAUUUUGGACAAUGGGCGCAAGCCUGAUCCAGCCAUGCCGCGUGUCUGAAGAAGGCCUUCGGGUUGUAAAGGACUUUUGUCAGGGAAGAAAAGGCUGUUGCUAAUACCGACAGCUGAUGACGGUACCUGAAGAAUAAGCACCGGCUAACUACGUG
rnacentral:rRNA from 1 species